rnacentral:rRNA from 1 species
GACGAACGCUGGCGGCGUGCUUAACACAUGCAAGUCGAACGGAAAGGCGCUGCUUUUGUUGGGUGCUCGAGUGGCGAACGGGUGAGUAACACGUGAGUAACCUGUCCUUGACUUUGGGAUAACUUCAGGAAAAUGGGGCUAUUACCGGAUAGGAGCUCCUGCUGCAUGGGGGGGGUUGGAAAGUGUCGGCGGUUGGGGCUGGACUCGCGGCUUAUCGGCUUGUUGGUGGGGUAGUGGCGUACCAAGCGUUUGACGGGUAGCCGGCCUGGGAGGUUGGACGGCGACAAUGGGACUGAGAGACGGAGCAGACUCCUACGGGCGGCAGCAGGGGGGAAUCUUGCACAACGGGGGGGAGCCAGAUGCAGAGACGCCGCGUGCGGGAUGCCGGCCUUCGGGGUGUAAACCGCUGUCGCCUGUGACGAAGCGUGAGUGACGGUAAUGGGUAAAGAAGCACCGGCUAACUACGUG